AACGCUAGCUACAGGCUUAACACAUGCAAGUCGAGGGGAAACGAUAUUGGAAGCUUGCCUCCGAUAGGCGUCGACCGGCGCACGGGUGAGUAACGCGUAUCCAACCUGCCCAUCACUUGGGAAUAACCUUGCGAAAGUAAGACUAAUGCCCAAUGAUAUCCCACGAAGGCAUCCGAAUGGGAUUAAAGAUUUAUCGGUGAUGGAUGGGGAUGCGUCUGAUUAGCUUGUUGGCGGGGUAACGGCCCACCAAGGCAACGAUCAGUAGGGGUUCUGAGAGGAAGGUCCCCCACAUUGGAACUGAGACACGGUCCAAACUCCUACGGGAGGCAGCAGUGAGGAAUAUUGGUCAAUGGGCGAGAGCCUGAACCAGCCAAGUAGCGUGCAGGAUGACGGCCCUAUGGGUUGUAAACUGCUUUUAUAAGGGAAUAAAGUGGGUCACGUGUGGCUUUUUGCAUGUACCUUAUGAAUAAGGACCGGCUAAUUCCGUGCCAGCAGCCGCGGUAAUACGGAAGGUCCGGGCGUUAUCCGGAUUUAUUGGGUUUAAAGGGAGCGUAGGCCGGAGAUUAAGCGUGUUGUGAAAUGUAGAGGCUCAACCUCUGCACUGCAGCGCGAACUGGUCUUCUUGAGUACGCACAACGUGGGCGGAAUUCGUGGUGUAGCGGUGAAAUGCUUAGAUAUCACGAAGAACUCCGAUUG
rnacentral:rRNA from 1 species